AAGACUCUACUUUCAGGGAACAUUUCUAUAGUUUGUAACGAGAGAAGUGUACUCGAAAGUGAUUGGCUGCGCGAACCACAAGGAGGAGUUGCAAGUGUUCUCUCCUGAGCGCAAAGGGAGCAUUUUGCAGCUGCUGCCUGUUAUUGAUGACCGUUCUGCCUCCUUUUCACGAAGGAGGUUGGAGGGAGAGAAGACGGACUGAGUGGC